UACGGGGGGGGGCAAGCGUUGUUCGGAAUUACUGGGCGUAAAGGGCUCGUAGGCGGCCAACUAAGUCGGAUGUGAAAUCCCCAGGCUUAACUGGUGGAACUGCAUCCGAUACUGGAUGGCUUGAAUCCGGGAGAGGGAUGCAGAAUUCCAGGUGUAGCGGUGAAAUGCGUAGAUAUCUGGAGGAAUACCGGUGGCGAAGGCGGCAUCCUGGACCGGCAUUGACGCUGAUGAGCGAAAGCUAGGGGAGCAAACGGG
rnacentral:rRNA from 1 species